GGACCGUUGCGCCGAGAUGGUCGAAGGCACCCAGCUCAUAACUGGGAAAAUCACCGGGGGUUCGACUCCCUCACGGUCCA
rnacentral:tRNA from 1 species